UGAACAACGUUUCAACUCAUUUUCCCAAAAUUUCCUCUUCGACGCUCCCAUUUUUCUCUCUUAUUUUCAAACCCUAAAUCGUCGUCCUCUAGGUUGUAUUCCGCCGGAACCCUAAUUUGUUCUUUUGAUCUAGUCCCGAUGAAAUUCUUCAUUCUUCUCUUUGUACUUGAUUAAAUAAUCGGUUAUUUUUCUCUGUUCACCUUCCAGUUCCAUCGUCUCUGUCUUCGAAGCCCUAAAUCCUCCGGUUGAUCAGAUCCUGCCGGAACCCUAAAUUGUUCAUUUGAUCACUUUCCGAUGAGACAGACCCUAAUUCGAUCAGAUCCUGCCGGAACUUUAAAUCGUUCUCUUGGUUAGAUCCCACCAAGUCCCUAAAUCGUUCUCUUCGUUAGAUCCAAUUGAGACAGACCCUCGAUCACCCACGAUGAGAUGUCGACGUAGUGGAAGUGUUCGAUCCUACCUCGACGGCUUCUGACGAAUGAUUAAGAUUUUGGGAUCGUUCUCUUGAUUGAGAUGAAGGAUAUAUCAGUGACCUAGCACGACAAAACACUUUAACAGUCCAGUUAUUCAGAGAGAGGACCCAUAAUCGAAUCCAGUUAAGAAAGACCGAAGAUUAUGGAUUUCUCAAUCGAUGGGUUUUGUGAGUGGACAUUGGAUCGAAGCCACAUGAAAUAGUUUUUUCGUGUUCUGGUUGUGGACAGUGAUCCUUCCUGCCUCGAGAUCUCGGAAAAUAUGCUUCGGACUUGCUGCUGCUGUGCUGGUUUUUGAAAAUUUUAUGGAAUGUGUGCUUUUCCAAUCUGUAGCAAAGAACGUGAAAAGUUGCCAGGGAAAGUAUCUACCACAAAGGUCUAGAAAGUUCUGUUGACCUCCUACAAGUAUUUCUACAAUUGAAGGUUCAAAAGCCCAUAGACGGACAUAUUUAGGAAGAAGGAUGGAUGAUGGUUGAAUAAAUGAACUUGCCGGUGCUUCAUGUUCGGGGAACGAAGUUAUUUCUUUUCUAAUUUACCAUUAGUUUAGUUUUAUAUGAUACGUCUUAACUUUUAACAUUGUGUUUCAGAUGGAUGAUGGUUGAAUAAACAAACGUACUGGUGCUUCAUGUUCGGGGAACAAGAUUAUUAUGUUCGAGAUCUGUUGCAGUUUGAGGGCUUCUUAAAAUUGCAAAUAAUUGGGAGUCAAUUAGGCAAAUGGAUCAAUUGCUGGGGAAUUCUGCACUGCUUUGAGAAUGAAAGUGAGCUAAAAAUGCUAGGAAUAUUGGCAGUGAGCUUAAGGGUAUAUCCUUAGCUUUAUUUU